UACGGGGGGAGCAAGCGUUGUUCGGAUUUACUGGGCGUAAAGGGCGCGUAGGCGGCCACCGCAAGUCGACUGUGAAAUCUCCGGGCUUAACCCGGAAAGGUCAGCCGAUACUGCGGGGCUAGAGUGCAGAAGGGGCAACUGGAAUUCUCGGUGUAGCGGUGAAAUGCGUAGGUAUCGAGAGGAACACCUGCGGCGAAGGCGGGUUGCUGGGCUGACACUGACGCUGAGGCGCGAAAGCUAGGGGAGCGAACGGG
rnacentral:rRNA from 1 species